rnacentral:tRNA from 1 species
GGAGGGGUGCCAGAGUGGUUGAAUGGGGCGGUCUCGAAAACCGUUGUGGAGUCACUCCACCCAGGGUUCGAAUCCCUGCCCCUCCGCCA